rnacentral:rRNA from 1 species
CCGAGCGGUAGAGGUCUUUCGGGAUCUUGAGAGCGGCGUACGGGUGCGGAACACGUGUGCAACCUGCCUUUAUCUGGGGGAUAGCCUUUCGAAAGGAAGAUUAAUACCCCAUAAUAUACUGGAUGGCAUCAUUCGGUAUUGAAAACUCCGGUGGAUAGAGAUGGGCACGCGCAAGAUUAGAUAGUUGGUGAGGUAACGGCUCACCAAGUCUGCGAUCUUUAGGGGGCCUGAGAGGGUGAUCCCCCACACUGGUACUGAGACACGGACCAGACUCCUACGGGAGGCAGCAGUGAGGAAUAUUGGACAAUGGGUGAGAGCCUGAUCCAGCCAUCCCGCGUGAAGGACGACGGCCCUAUGGGUUGUAAACUUCUUUUGUAUAGGGAUAAACCUACCCUCGUGAGGGUAGCUGAAGGUACUAUACGAAUAAGCACCGGCUAACUCCGUGCCAGCAGCCGCGGUAAUACGGAGGGUGCAAGCGUUAUCCGGAUUUAUUGGGUUUAAAGGGUCCGUAGGCGGAUCUGUAAGUCAGUGGUGAAAUCUCACAGCUUAACUGUGAAACUGCCAUUGAUACUGCAGGUCUUGAGUGUUGUUGAAGUAGCUGGAAUAAGUAGUGUAGCGGUGAAAUGCAUAGAUAUUACUUAGAACACCAAUUGCGAAGGCAGGUUACUAAGCAACAACUGACGCUGAUGGACGAAAGCGUGGGGAGCGAACAGGAUUAGAUACCCUGGUAGUCCACGCCGUAACGAUGCUAACUCGUUUUUGGAAUGUAAGUUUCAGAGACUAAGCGAAAGUGAUAAGUUAGCCACCUGGGGAGUACGAACGCAAGUUUGAAACUCAAAGGAAUUGACGGGGGCCCGCACAAGCGGUGGAUUAUGUGGUUUAAUUCGAUGAUACGCGAGGAACCUUACCAAGGCUUAAAUGGGAAAUGACAGGUUUAGAAAUAGACUUUUCUUCGGACAUUUUUCAAGGUGCUGCAUGGUUGUCGUCAGCUCGUGCCGUGAGGUGUUAGGUUAAGUCCUGCAACGAGCGCAACCCCUGUCACUAGUUGCCAUCAUUAAGUUGGGGACUCUAGUGAGACUGCCUACGCAAGUAGAGAGGAAGGUGGGGAUGACGUCAAAUCAUCACGGCCCUUACGCCUUGGGCCACACACGUAAUACAAUGGCCGGUACAGAGGGCAGCUACACUGCGAAGUGAUGCAAAUCUCGAAAGCCGGUCUCAGUUCGGAUUGGAGUCUGCAACUCGACUCUAUGAAGCUGGAAUCGCUAGUAAUCGCGCAUCAGCCAUGGCGCGGUGAAUACGUUCCCGGGCCUUGUACACACCGCCCGUCAAGCCAUGGAAGUCUGGGGUACC